rnacentral:pre_miRNA from 1 species
AACAUACUCCCUCCAUCCCAAAAUUCGUGUCCUACAUUUGUCUGGAUAUGAAUGUAUCUAGUCACGUUUUAUUAUUUAGGUACAUCUAUUUCUAGACAAACCUUAGACAAGAAAAUUAAGACGGAGGAAGUAUGCA